rnacentral:rRNA from 1 species
UGGGGAAUUUUGGACAAUGGGGGAAACCCUGAUCCAGCCAUCCCGCGUGUGCGAUGAAGGCCUUCGGGUUGUAAAGCACUUUUGGCAGGAAAGAAACGUCAUGGGUUAAUACCCCGUGAAACUGACGGUACCUGCAGAAUAAGCACCGGCUAACUACGUGCCAGCAGCCGCGGUAAUACGUAGGGUGCAAGCGUUAAUCGGAAUUACUGGGCGUAAAGCGUGCGCAGGCGGUUCGGAAAGAAAGAUGUGAAAUCCCAGAGCUCAACUUUGGAACUGCAUUUUUAACUACCGGGCUAGAGUGUGUCAGAGGGAGGUGGAAUUCCGCGUGUAGCAGUGAAAUGCGUAGAUAUGCGGAGGAACGCCGAUGGCGAAGGCAGCCUCCUGGGAUAACACUGACGCUCAUGCACGAAAGCGUGGGGAGCAAACAGG